GAUCAUGGCUCAGGAUGAACGCUAGCUACAGGCUUAACACAUGCAAGUCGAGGGGCAGCAUGACCUAGCAAUAGGUUGAUGGCGACCGGCGCACGGGUGAGUAACACGUAUCCAACUUACCGGUUAUUCCGGGAUAGCCUUUCGAAGAAGAUUAAUACCGGAUAGUAUAACGAGAAGGCAUCUUCUUGUUAUUAAAGAAUUUCGAUAACCGAUGGGGAUGCGUUCCAUUAGUUUGUUGGCGGGGUAACGGCCC
rnacentral:rRNA from 1 species